UUUGAUGGCGACCGGCGCACGGGUGAGUAACACGUAUCCAACCUGCCGAUGACUCGGGGAUAGCCUUUCGAAAGAAAGAUUAAUACCCGAUGGCAUAGUUCUUCCGCAUGGUAGAACUAUUAAAGAAUUUCGGUCAUCGAUGGGGAUGCGUUCCAUUAGGUUGUUGGCGGGGUAACGGCCCACCAAGCCUUCGAUGGAUAGGGGUUCUGAGAGGAGGGUCCCCCACAUUGGAACUGAGACACGGUCCAA
rnacentral:rRNA from 1 species